UGAAUCCACGCGGGAGAGUUCCCGGCCGCGCGCAGCGCGCGGGCCCGCCGGGGCGCCGAAGGAGCAAGUCCUCCCUUGAAUCUCUCAGGCACCGAUACCGCGCAGGACGA
rnacentral:ncRNA from 2 species